UACGUAGGGUGCGAGCGUUGUCCGGAAUUAUUGGGCGUAAAGAGCUCGUAGGCGGUUUGUCACGUCUGCUGUGAAAUCCCGAGGCUCAACCUCGGGCCUGCAGUGGGUACGGGCAGACUGGAGUGCGGUAGGGGAGAAUGGAAUUCCUGGUGUAGCGGUGAAAUGCGCAGAUAUCAGGAGGAACACCGGUGGCGAAGGCGGGUCUCUGGGCCGUAACUGACGCUGAGGAGCGAAAGCGUGGGGAGCGAACAGG
rnacentral:rRNA from 1 species